ACAGUUCGCUUAAUCCUCAACAGCAAGAAGUGCGUAGUCAUUAUCCGUCACCAGACACUCAUCAGAGGUGCCCGUUCAGUAGCGUCCGUAGAUGCAGUUUGUGGCCAGUUAGACAAGCAGCUCGCGCUACUGUUUGCCAUCAAAACGUUUACAUGGGUGGUGAAAGGAUUCUUCCUUCAGAAUGCGUGAAAUAAAAGUCUGCAUUCUGCUUUUCUGGUUAAGUUUUACAGCAGUACGCAGUCAGCAAGACGUCAGCCCCCAAGGAUCUUAAAUGGCGAAGAAAUUCUUGGAAAUGGAGGACCUGUAACACUGACUUGCGAGGGAGACGAACCUCUUGCCUGGACAUACAAAUACCUGAAUUGCCAUUAUGACAUGGGAAAGCAGAACCAGACGUCGAAGACAGAUGGCUCCUAU